UGAGGAAUAUUGGGCAAUGCCCGCAAGGGUGACCCAGCAACGCCGCGUGGAGGAUGAAUGUCGUAAGAUUGUAAACUCCUGUUAGAGGGGAAGAAUAGUACCGGUUGGACCGGUAUAUGACUGUACCCUCAGAGAAAGCCCCGGCUAACUACGUGCCAGCAGCCGCGGUAAUACGGAGGGUGCGAGCGUUAUCCGGAUUUACUGGGUUUAAAGGGUGCGUAGGUGUGCUUAUAAGUCAGUGGUGAAAUCUCCGAGCUUAACUUGGAAACUGCCGUUGAUACUAUAGGUCUUGAAUUAUCUGGAGGUAAGCGGAAUAUGUCAUGUAGCGGUGAAAUGCUUAGAUAUGACAUAGAACACCAAUUGCGAAGGCAGCUUACUACAUAUAAAUUGACGCUGAGGCACGAAAGCGUGGGGAUCAAACA
rnacentral:rRNA from 1 species